UUGUGUCCUGUCAGGACGUACUCUCUAACCCAGUAUUGGAGCUGACCAAGAGACCAGGAGAAAACGUUACUCUAUACUGUGACUGUAAACAAACAACUAAUGUAAAUAUUGUUUGGUACAGGAACUGUUCUCAUGAAAAUCAGCCAACACUAUCUCUGAAUUGGAAGGACAGAUAUCAAGGCAUUUUUGAUUAUGGCGAGGAUGGAGUAAAUUUCUUCCAUUUAAAUAUGAUGUUGAACAAUUUGUCAAACUCAUACGACUUACUGAUUAAGAACAUUACUGAUUCUCACCUUGGUCUCUACUACUGUGGAACUGAUGAACUGAACGGGGAAAAAGGAAACAAGAAAAAAUAUAUCUACACAUAUGGUAAAAUAAUCACAAGGAUUUUGUUUGAUAUCCCUUUAGAUGCCGGUGCUGUAGACCCUGCUGCUCCAGACUGUGGACAUUGCUGGAUGCUGCUGGUCACCCUGUGUCCCUCCUCCGCUCUCCUCUCUUUGUUCCUCUACUUCCUCUGCAGUCACAUGGUUCGUGCCGGAAGACAUCCUUGCAUCUCUCAGGAAACCAGGCCUUUAACACUGCAAGAUGAGGUAUAUGAUAGUACACCACUUACAUUAAAUGAUGUUAACACCCUGUUCUAUUAAGAAGUGUGCUCAGUCGUUGUACUGUCCUAAUGUCACGUUAUGUCUGUCUC